CCCAGACUCCUACGGGAGGCAGCAGUGGGGGAUAUUGCACAAUGGGGGGAACCCUGAUGCAGCGACGCCGCGUGGGUGAAGAAGCGCCUCGGCGCGUAAAGCCCUGUCAGCAGGGAAGAAAAUGACGGUACCUGAAGAAGAAGCCCCGGCUAACUACGUGCCAGCAGCCGCGGUAAUACGUAGGGGGCAAGCGUUAUCCGGAUUUACUGGGUGUAAAGGGAGCGUAGACGGUGAUGCAAGUCAGAAGUGAAAGCCCGGGGCUCAACUCCGGGACUGCUUUUGAAACUGUGUAACUGGAGUGCAGGAGAGGUGAGCGGAAUUCCUGGUGUAGCGGUGAAAUGCGUAGAUAUCAGGAGGAACACCAGUGGCGAAGGCGGCUUACUGGACUGUAACUGACGUUGAGGCUCGAAAGCGUGGGGAGCAAACAGGAUUAGAUACCCGAGUA
rnacentral:rRNA from 1 species